rnacentral:rRNA from 1 species
AAUGAACGUUGGCGACGUGGAUUAGGCAUGCAAGUCGUUCGCCCCGCGAGGGGCGAGGCGCAAGGGUGAGUAAGGCGACGACAACCAACCCCGAGGGUGGGCAUAGCCGCGGGAAACUGCGGGUAAUUCCCAGCGAAGUCGGAGGGUGGCAUCAUCCACCGACCAAAGGUGCGAUAUCCGCCUCGGGACGGGUCGUCGUGGUAUCAGCUAGUUGGUGGGGUAACGGCCCACCAAGGCGAAGACGCCUACCGGGCGUGCGAGCGUGGCCCGGCACACUGGGACUGAGACACUGCCCAGACACCUACGGGUGGCUGCAGUCGAGAAUCUUCGGCAAUGGGCGCAAGCCUGACCGAGCGACGCCGCGUGCGGGAUGAAGGCCUUCGGGUUGUAAACCGCUGUCAGAGGGGAGGAAAUGCGUGAGAGUUCUCUCUCACGUUUGACCUAUCCUCAGAGGAAGUACGGGCUAAGUUCGUGCCAGCCGCCGCAGUAACAC